CUCAGUCAGCACAAACCAUGGACAUGAGGGCUCCUGCUCAGCUCUUGGGGCUCCUGCUGCUCUGGAUCUCAGGAGCCAGAUGUGACAUCCAGAUGACCCAGUCUCCACCUUCACUGUCUGUUUCUCCAGGAGACAGAGUCACAAUCACUUACCAAGCCAGUGAGAAUAAUUAUAACAGUUUACACUGGUACAAACAGAAACCAGGGGAAGCUCCUAAGCUCCUGAUCACUUAUGUAUCAAAUUUACAACCUGGAGUUCCAGCCAGGUUCAGUAGCAGUGGGUAUGGGACAGAGUUCACUCUCACCAUCAGCAGCCUGCAGCCUGAAGAUGCUGCUACUUAUUACUUUCAACAAAGUACUACUUACCCUCCCACAGUGAUACAAGUCAUAGCAUAA